ACCGCAAUGGGAAGCGACGGUAUAAAACGCCCUCGUAACCGCUAGCAUCCAAGCAUUCGGAUAAGGACUCUUGGCGAAGCGUUAUCAUAGUGUGCGGCCUUUCGCGAGUACUCUCUUAUAACUCUAACACAGGAUCGAUAAUCAACACUUAAAGAUGCAACUAAAGAAGAAUUUACUAUCGAUCGGCUUUGUUUUUCUGCUAGUCAGCUCGGCACUCGCACAGAACUGCAUGAUGCGUGGUGGAUGCAGAAAAACGAACGAAAACGGUAGCAGAUCAGUGGAUUUCUUCCUCUGUGGUGAUCAAAUCUUCAACGUAUUUUACCAGGUCUGCAGACCCCAGAGGCGGCAUAAGAGAGCAGCAGCAACAUCAGUUGACAUUCUAGUGGAGCGACGCCAAAGCGCAAAGUUCCUUCGCACCAGACGCAGUUAUGAUAUCGUGGAGGAGUGCUGCAAUGAGGGAUGCGCAGUGGAGGAAGUACACGAAUACUGCGACAUCGUCGUGUUGUAGUGCGCGCAUCAUGUGGGAUGCGCAGUGAAGAAAGUACACGAAUACUGUGACAUCGUCGUGUUAUAGUACGCGCAUCAUGUGGGAGGCGCAGUUUAGGAAGUACACAAAUACGGCCACAUCACCGUGUUGUAGGGCACGAUCCAUGUGGGAAGAAUAGCUUGAGAUGGAGAAGAAAGGAGGAAGCAAGUGCACUGCUGAUGGUGCUGGGAAUCCAAAUGUCCGAAGGUUCUGAAGUCAAUGGCUUUUCUAAAUGGUGUAAAAGAGCCUGGGGCGAGCGCGCGGGAGACCUGUGAUAUUCCAAAACGAUAAGGACUAGGCUCCACUUCCAAGAUGGCUGCAAGCAAAAUCAAAUUCCUGCAAGUUUACGUGGAAAUUAUCGACUUACAAAGCCCUAGAGCGAUAAAAAAAGCGAAAGAAUGAUUGAAGCGUACUCCCAAAUGUUGUAUGUAAUGCCUAAUAAGGAAUUGGCCGAGCAAGCUAGAAAAACGACAGUUUUUAAAACAAGAUUGAAUGAUAUGCGACUUUGUACGAGUUGAUACUUAAUAGGAUAUACCG